GACUAUUCCAUGAUUUUGAUUAUUAUGAAAUCAAAGAUAAUUGAUGAUGAAGGACAGAACCACCAAGAAUAGUAGUUGAGGAGUGACGACGGUUGCAUGCAUGACUAGUUGGGCACUAGUGUCAUAUUUAGCAAAUGAGAUCACAUAAUUGUGCAAGCAGUUGCAUUGUCUUCACAUAAAUAUUCAUCACAACGACUCACAUAACAAGGUCUGCCACCACCAUAACUAUCAUAAACUGGUCUUCCAUAAUACCCAUCGUAACAACUUAUUGGUGCUGGUGGUGGCCCACCGUAACCUUCAAAGCAUGGCCCACCUCCCCUACCUUCAUAGCAUGGCGUACAACACACUCCAAUUGGAACUGCCAUAGGUGGUGGACACACCGGAAUAUAAGGUGCCGGUUCCGGCAUAGGCUGCGGUGGCGGAGCGGGUUUUUCUUUUGGCUUCUCAGGUUGUUUUGGUGGUUCAGGCUUCGGCUCAGGUGGUGGAGGUGCAGGCUUUUCUUUGGGUUUCUCAGGCUCUUUGGGCUUUUCAGGCUCCUUGGGCUUUUCAGGUUCUUUGGGCUUCUCAGGCUCCUUUGGUUUUUCAGGGUUUUUUGGCUUCUCUGGUUCUUUGGGCUUUUCAGGCUCUUUGGGCUUGACGGGUUCCUUGGGCUUUUCUGGUUCUUUAGGCUUGGGAGGUGGAGGAGGUUCGACAAUUUCUAUGCUUUUGAUGGCACCACAACCUUUGCAACAAAUCUUGUCUCUUAUCUUCUCGGGGCUACAACAAACCACUGUGAUUGUCACGAUGUUGUUCUUCUCAUCGUACACCUGGUCUCGAAUUUCUCUUGUUCACAAAUAUUUUUACAAACACCAAACAACAAAAAAAUCAACUCAAUUUGAUAUCUUCUUACAAAAUAUAAUAAUUUCAUUAAUCUAUAUAUAGG
rnacentral:lncRNA from 1 species